rnacentral:SRP_RNA from 2 species
GCCAGGCAUGGUGGCGGGCGCCUGUAGUCCCAGCUACUUGGGAGGCUGAGGCAGGAGAAUGGCGUGAACCCGGGAGGCGGAGCUUGCAGUGAGCCAAGAUCGUGCCACUGCACUCCAGCCUGGUCGACAAGCGAGACUUUUGAGACAGAGUCUUGCUGUGUCGCCCAGGCUGGAGUACAGGGGUGCAAUCUCGGCUCACUGCAACCUCCGCCUCCCAGGUUGAAGCAAUUCUCCUGCCUCUG